GCGGUGCUGCCUGGUUCGUCAGGACAACUGUAUCCCCGGGGCCAUACGACUCCCAAGGGAGCUGUCACUGUUCUCGCUCGAGGGCUUGGACAUUACGGCGCCCACCUACAUCAGUAGGCGCCCGGGAUCGAACCGUCCAACGGCCGAGGUGGCCCGCU
rnacentral:other from 3 species